UAUAUAUAUGACUAAAAAAAGUCAUUAUCCAUAUUUCUCUAAGGAGGAAAUUGAAAAUAUUGUUAUGAAGGAUCCAGGAAGCCUAUACCUCUAACUGCUCUAUACUGGCACAAGAUAUAAUAAUUCAUACUGAUCUUUCUCGGUGAGAUAACAGAUAGUAGGCAAGAGUUCAUUUGAAAAGUGAAACAAAAUACAUUCUGAAUGCCGUUUCUCAUUAUCUACCCAGCUUUAGUGAUGAUAAUGUGUGUGGCGACUGUGCCUAGUGGAUAAUACUUGAAAUAUGCCUAACAAAAAUGUGAAUUUAUUCAUUUUUAUGUAGGUCAAUCAAACAUCUGCCUGGAGACCUCAUUUAAUUCAGGUCAAAAGAGGCAGCAACCGUCCACAUUCAGUAGACUUGACAGCAAACAUCAAAAGACAGCCAUUUUAGAUCCUCCCCAAUGCUCCUCCCUGACACACAUUUUAUUUAGAAAAAAAAAAAAUAGGUUCCCAAGUAAGAGGGAGGCUCCUGAGAGAAGAGAAGCAGAGCAUGGUGUCAUCAGUCAACACAUGUAUUGUUGGGAAUUCAUGUUCUGUCUGCUGGUCUUCCCCAACCGCUGGUUCUCCUGCACCCACCAAAUCGCAGGCCAUUGCUCUGAGAUGCGCCUUCUUUGUUCUCACACAAUUCUCACCCUGCUGAGCAGUGAUGGAAUUUGGGGGUGUGUUUCCAUAGAAUCCUGUGCAUCCAGAGACCAUGGGAGGAGAUUAGGUUCUGUCUCUGAGCUAGGAUACUGCUUUGUCAGAUCACUUGCUAUGGAAUUUGAUUUUUCAUAGGCAGUCCCACCUGGAAUCACAGACUCCUUGCAUAUCAGAAUUAUUUAGCUCUUGCUGACAGCAGCCAUUCAUUCCCUAGGAAUGGUGCCUCUGGCCUUUGGAGAGACCCUCACCUGAGUCUGAUUUUCUUGUUUGCUUUAGUCUCCAUUCUCUUUCCUCCUGGUGUUUUAUGCUUUUACUUUUUUUAAUUGUUCCCUUGCUUAUUUAUGCUCUCUUACUUUUAUUUGACUCUCAUUUUUCUUCAGAGCAAUAGUGCUUUGAGCUUUUUCAGUCCUUUGUCUCCUAUACCUAGGUCAUUAAUUAUUUCAUAGAUGAAAAAAAAAUGGAGUUAAAGGAUUCUCUGGCUUUGGCGUGAUACUUCUUUCUUGGAACAAAAUGGAUAGGAAGAAGGAAUGGCUUGAAAGAAACAUGUGAGAGGACUUAGAAGGGUCAGAUAGAAAGGUCUAGGAAGGCUUCACAAUAUGGGUGUACUAUGCAGGCUUUAUACUUCUUCUUGGCAUGCUAAAGAGAACUAGGUGCCUAUGGGAAGGCAGAAACAGGUGUCUAUCACUAGAACACAGCUCUGUGGGAAAGGCUCACUCUGUUUACUUGUAAAACUCUUGAGUAGGCCCAACACAGCAGCUGUGCAACAGAUGAGUGCUGGUUUCCUGGCUGAAGGAGCAUGUCUCAUCUCUUACUCGGCUUGAAAAUGGUCCUCGUUUCAAUGGUAGGCUUCAGAGUGGGCCUAAAAGGGAAGUGAGUGGAGGCCUGAAGCUUUGAUAAACGUAAUGAAUACUUUCUGGCUUUGAAAAUGUAGCCUGAGAUGUGCCGUGGUGACACACCUCUUUGAUCCUAGCACUGGAGAAACAAAGGCAGGAGGAUCUCUGUGAGUUCCAGGCCAUUCUGGUCUACAGAGUGAGUUCUAGGACAGCCAGGGCUACCUGGAGAAACCAUGUCUUGGAGAGGAGUAAAGGAAUCUUAAAUAUGUGUUUUCUCCAAGGGGUCAUCUAAGGACUGAGCUCUCUGACAAAUACCUAAAAGUGUGACAGUGGUGGUGAAAAUUGGAGAUUAAUAUCCUAGAGGGCACAGUCCUGACUGGUUCAUUGUGGAUAGGUCCAUGAGUGCCAUGGGUCAGCUCCUUAGCAGUGUGUGUGACAAGAUCCCUGAACUCCUGUCUCCGUUUCAGGGAUGUAUCUACUCUUUGCUUCCAUCCACACAUGUGCUGAAGAUAGGACUGUGUCUAGUGGGAAGCCUAGCUCAUAAUGAAGUCAUUUAUCCAACUUGAACCCAAGUAUGGGAAAUAUGUUCAGAAUACAUAUAUUGAUAGCCACAUGGGUGCCAAUUAGUAAUAACGUGUUUAAAUACAUAUCAAUACAGCGUCCCAAAGGUAUGGUAUAGGUUUUCAAAGGGACUAUGCUGUUAUAUGAAGGUGAAUAUUUGACCUUAUAACCUUUAACCCAUUCCUUCUAAUGAACUAGCUAUAACAAAUAAGUUCGAAGUUAAAAAAAGUUCUCAGGAAAAGUAUUUCAUCCCAUUUAUUGGGAAUUUGGCUGUGAAGUGUUGUAUGUCCUCAAGUUUAGCAGUGUACUGGGCAACAGACUGUCACCAACAAAUUAACAGUGAUUUUCAAAAACGCCCAUUUUGAUGCCUAGAAGACACGAUUAGAUGAUAAGGUAAUACUAAAGCUAUCACUUCAGUUUCUACUUUGGAAAAAGGGAUACAAAUACUGAGGCUCCAUUUUCCAGGAGUAUUUCUAAACAAAUCAGGCAUGAAAAGGGAUAUUCAAUGAAAAUGUUUAACAAUGUUUGUAUCUAGACAUUUUUAGUUGAUCUUGCCUUAAUCCUUAAGUAACUGUUCAGUUAUUUCAGAGUCUAUUAAAUAGUCAAAUUACACUGAACAAAUUCCAGGAUAUAAAAAUAUUUCUUUCACAGGAUCUAAGAGGCCAAUAAGUAGUCAAUGGACACAUGUGCUCAAAAUUCUUCUCGUAAAAUCCCACCAGUAUGUACAACUUUUAAUCUCUAGUUUCCCUCAGUGCCAUAAUGAAAUACCAUUUGCUGAGAUCUACUUUGAUCUGUCACCCUCAACUUAGUUGUCUUUUAUGAAUUUUGGAGUUAGUAGGUUUUUGAUUAUUUAGAUUUUGUUACUUGAGCUUCACAUUAGCUUAUUUUUAUCCAUAUUCUCCUUCAUCUAUCUUAAAAAGGUAGCUUAAAUGACAUAAUUGUCACCAAAGGCUAUCUUCUAUAACUGUCCUGACUGUAACGGGCAGGGAGUCGAGGUGUGCUUAGCCACUUUUUGGUCAGGUGACACACUUGUACUUUUAGAGAUUAUAGGCUGUACUCACAGGUCCACCGUAGCCAUAUCCUUCCCACAAUGCAACACUUGGACAGCCAGUGGUGCUUUAAAAAAUGAUACAUGAUUGCAUUUAUUUAAAACUGUCUAAAUAGCAACUAUAGAAAGGAUUAACACUAAAAUGGGCCUUUUCGUUAGUUAAAUGAAAUCAAUUAUCUUCCGAUUUCCCACAGGCUGUGAUUUACUGUUAUUGAAUUCUGAUCAUGAUUGAAAAGCCAUUUUCUUCUUUGAUUGAAACAUCUCUCUGCAGUGAAGAAGCCAAAAGGAAGUCCUAUUCUAAAUCUACAUUUGCUACAACAGGACCCUGAGAGCCUGACAUCCACAACUACUGAAAACAGUGAGUCAGGGACUACUGAAGCAGAUGAUUGUAAUUCUAGGUGUUGACAUCUGGUCUUGUCACUGUGGGCGGAAUUCAGUGCACGCCCUCUUCAGCAGGAGUCGCUCAAAGUCAUCAGGAAGUGCACCUCAGUCUGCAACCCGCGCAGUAGAGAACUAACUGAGUGGAUGACUUCAGACAUGCCCCCCCCCCCUGCCUACUACACUGGCAGAAAAUCUGCAUUACUGCUGCGAGACUCUCCAACAGUCCUCUUCUAGAACUCGGAGCUUUGAACACUGUACUGAGAGUAAGGGUUCACAGAAGACGGAGAUCACAGAUAGCAUCAUAGUUUUGCUAAAAUUCUCUAAGAAAGUUCCUGGAGGGGUUAGCUGUUACAGCACCUGAAUGGAUACCACAAGAUACCUCCUUAGCUCUGGGAUCAAGUUCUGGAUAUUGAACUGAAGUCAUCUGAGUUCAACAGCAAGCACAGUUGAGCUAUCUUCAGACCCAGCUUUCAGACCAAGAGGUACUGCUCCUUCCUGGUUUUUCCCUCUUAUCUGUGUGUCUGUGGCUUUAAGAAACACAUGUAAACUUUCAGAAGCUUAAUACUGUCUUGGCUGGAAAAAAAUCUAAUUUUAGAGCAUAGGAGAGAUUAGGGGCCUAACUAAAAUAAUGUUCUGAGAUGCACUAUGCAGAAUCAAGGGAAUAGCAUGAGAUCAGGUGGUAUCUUAGCACUUUCUGUUUUAAUUUCUUUCUUAUUCUUAAUCCAGAAACCUUCUUUUUACUAAAAAUCACUUAUAAUUAUAUUGUUCAUUGGUCCAAACCAAUCAAUCAUUUCUAUUUUGUGCUUCUAAUAUUUCUUCAAGUGCCUAUAUGAAUAACCUGUAGGCCCACGAAUUCCGAAAAUCGAGUGCGUUUAAAUAGGUUCAAUGCAGCCAGCACUGCUCUGUAGCCACAUCGGGAAAUCCGUGUGCUCUCAAGACACAGCUGGCCAUUUUGAAGCUACCUUCUCAACUUUCUGGAAGAAAGGAUGAGUAUCCAGUAGAUGUGUGGCAUCACAGACAAAGGUGUUUUCAGUUUCUAUGAUUUCACCCUGGCUCGCCCAUCAAGCACAAUGCUCAUUGUUACCAACCAGAUGAAUCCCUUAAAUGACCUCCAGUCUCAGCAGCUUCUAUAGCUAAAAGCUCCUCAAUCAAGCAGCUUUGAGGUGGAAAAAACCUUUUAUUCUAUAACACAUUAAAAGAUUUUUCUACUCCCCCUGACUUGGGCAAUUUCCCUAGCUUUUACUAUGAGAACUAGACAGGGUGCUGUAUUCAUGUGUCUGGUCAAGGUCCUAAAGCUAACUUAUCCCAUUUGCUAAAGAAUACUUGUUUCUCCAGUUGAAUCUAAAAAUGUAGACACUUACAAAAC
rnacentral:sRNA from 1 species